GAUUUAAGAGUUUGGAAUUCAGGAGGAGUUCAGGAAAUAUGAGUCCAAGCUGGAGAUCAAGUUUGGGAGUCAUGGACAUAAAGAUGGUUUUUAGGUCAAUGGACGAGGUGAGAUCACAUAGGUGUAAGUGUAGGAAAAAGAGAGAGAGAGAGACAGAGACAGAGGCAGAGACAGAGAAUCCAGAGGGCUGAGGCAUUCCAACAUUACCAUGUCCACCAUGAGAAGAUGAAGACCUAGCAGAAAAGACUUAAUGGGAAUCCCUGAUCUGUGAAGACAGAGAUGUUGUCUUAUUCACAUGUUUACCCCCAGCCGUUACAGUAAUGUCUGGCACAUGGCAGACACUUAAGAUGAAAACCACUAUAAUCAGCGUCACCAAAAUAUGUCUUGGACAAGCCAUUUUAAUUUGAGGCACAUCAGACAACACUGCCCACCUCUACUAGGCCACGUGACUGAAACUACCCAGUGGAAUACGGAUGGAGUGUUGCAUACUUGUGGACUUGUCCACAAAACCCUCCAACACAGAAUCCUCCAUACUCUUUCACCAUUAGCAGGCCAAAUGGAGAGGUUUCCAAGAAUGCAGAGGAGGGCAAAGCUACAUGAUGGGAGAAGCCUGGGUCACUGAAUCAUCCUCAGAGACAAGCUGUUUAGAGAGGAGCAUCUAAACAAACCUUAUUCUCUUAAGCUACUGAAAUUUUGGGGUUGUUGUUUACAUCGAUUAGCCUGCCCCAAUGAGGUAUGGACUUUGGGUCAAAUUGCCUGAGCUCAAAACCUCAUUUCAUCACCAGCUAUGCAACCUUGGACAAGCUACUUAGCCUCUAUGUGCUCCUGUUUCCUUAUAUGUGAUAUGGUGACAGUAACAUUACGUACCUCACAGAGUAUUUGAGGAUAUUGAAUGAGGUAUACAGCCCUAUAAUAAACAUGGCAUAUAAGUUAUUACUACUUUAUUCCCAAAGAAGACUUUCAUUUUAAGAUCAUAUCCAAAUAGGGGUCACCUACAGAGCUUGGUAAAGUACUGUAAGUUGAUCUGUAAAAUGAGAAACUACAUAUAAUGUUCAACUUCAAGAGUGUCGAAUUUUCUAGAAAGAAAAUCAGGGAGGAGCGGAGGAGGAAAGGAAGGGAUGUAAUGAAGGAGGGAGAGAGUUAAGAAUGAAGACUUUUGUAUUUUAAGCAGCUUAUGUACUAACCCAACUUGCUAACAGGUCUGAUACAGCAAGAAAGGAAAUAUACCUCAGCAUUAGAUAGUUAAUGUGGAAAAAACUCAUUCUGGAAGCUGACCAACAUUUUCUCUUGUCAUUGUUCGCGAUAGUAGCCUAGACCUAGCCUUUCUGCCUUGAGUACUGAGUAUAUUGAAUAUCUUCUCCCCCAACCCCAGCCUUGCUUUUUCUCUUUCAAUGACAAAUAUUCUCUGGCUUUAUUCACAUGUCCUUACUUAUCUUGUAAAAGCAAACCAAACUGAAAUGUACCGGUAGCCCUUUGCCAUUUAGUAAGCUUUAUUCUAAGGCAUGGUGCCUAUAAAUAAAGCAAUUUGAUGCUAGGAAAAAAAAAACCUCACCAAGUGCACAACUCUGUGUGUUUACAGUCUCUUCUAUAAAUAGAUGAAGAUUACAGGUUUUUAAAGUGAAUGAGCGACUACAGCAAAGAUUGUGUGAACUCAGAAAAAUGAGUGAAGCAUAAAAUAUACUGUAUGUAAUAGAAAUGGGUAUUUACUCAGUAGCAAUGACAACAAAGUUAAACACAAGAAAAUUAGUACUUUGAAGAUUUGGUAACAACGAACCAUGAAAUGCCCUGGUUUGUGUCCCUUUGGAGUUUCUCAGAAGAUACUGUUCACUAUGUAGACAAAUACGUGAAUAUAUGAAGUUGGCUAUUUAUUCGUUAAGAUGUUCUUCACUUUUAUGAAAGUGAGCUCCUAUUUUUCUGAAGUCUCCAAGGCACAAACAAAAAGAAACCUAUCUGUAGAGAAAGAAGAGCUUUUCUACUCCAAAAAUAAAUUGUGCCUAUUCUGAAAAGGGGGGAAAAAGUAGAGGACUUAAAAAAACACAACUAAAUGAGAUUUUCUGCAAAGUUACAAUGCCCAAGGACAGCCCUGAUUUGAUGCUUUAGCAAUUUACAUGGAAUUUUACUCUGGUGGUUUCUCUAAGUCUCCACAGAAACAAGCAACAAAACAAUAUGUUAUCUCUGAGUCAAAGAAACCAUUUUCAGAGCCUAGUGACUAUAGUUUCAAAAUUCUCCACUUCUAACAGUAUCAUAUGAGUGGACUAUAAAGAAAAAACUCUUUCAGUUUUGCAUGGUGAUUAAGUCGUGUGGGGCAUUUGGGGCUUUGAUUUAUCUUCCCAGAGGGUAUCUGGCUCAAAGAUCUUGUGUGGUACAGAGAGGAUGAGAAAACAAAGGGUAGCAUUUCACCAGCCUGUGCAGUUGGAUAAUUUCACUAAUACAGGCAGCCCAACUGCUGUGAGAGAUUAGGUCACGGGGUCUGGGGAUAUUUCGACAUUAAGAUGUACCAGUUCCACCAAUCAACCUCCAUAAUCAACACCUCUUAGAAGAAGAGUAUCAGUGACAUGAUCAUCUUCAAUAACAAAGAAGCAAGAAACUCACUUUUACAUUCUCUAAAUUAGUCCUAGAAUUCAUGAUAAAAGAAUGUGGUGUAGUCUUAGCAAUAAACAUAGAGAACAGAGAAUAUGGACAAUUACUGGGAUAUGUUCCUUCAAUUAUGUGAAUCUUUCUGCACUUCAGUGUAGGGAUUUCUCUGACCAUAAGUAGAAUCAACACUAAUUGGAGCCUUAGGAUUUGAGGCAUAGACUUUUUCAGUAAGUCUUUUAUGCAUGUUUCCAGCUACCGUUUUGUUCUUUAAAAAAAAACAGAAGUGGAAAAAGUAUUAGAGGAGACAUGAGGUAAGAAUUUGACUCUCAGUAUUGCCAUUAGUCUAUUUUAGAGCUGUGGACAAGUCACUUCACUUCUAUAGGUCUAUUUUUUUCAAGACAGAGGGGUUGGAUUGGCUAGUCUCUAAAGCCCCUUGAAGCUCUGAAAGUCUAGAAUACUUAACAAAGGCUAGCACUGGCUUCUUCAGUCACUGGAUCUAUGAAUACUAUUAAAAUGAUGAGGUCUUGACUUUUAAAAAUGCAGUUCAGGGAAAGCAUCUUUAUCCCCCCCUCAUGUCUCUGGGACUAUAAAUCACUUGUGCUAAGGCAUGCAAACACCUGACACUGGACGACAUGGUUUGUUCUUUGCAUUUGACAUGCCACAUUAAACGCUAGAUGGGUAUGCUAAAAAAAAUAAAUAAAUCAUCUGAUUAUAUUAUCUUGCUUAUUAAAGUUAAAGCUGAGCUUACUAUUAGCGUCUAAUUAACACCACCAGGUAAAGUACUUAGUGUUGUCUUUUUUCUAAGGAAAUAACCAGUGAUUCUCUUCUGAUGCCUUUAUACUUCUGGAAAGGUCAGCAAAGUCCCCAAUUCAGACUCUUGCUCUCACAAUGGCUGAUUCAUUCCAAAUCUUCAAAGAACCAUCUCCUUAUAUAUUUUUCUCUUCGCACAAUGGUCACAGUUCUCUAACCAUAUAAUAAAAAUCAUGCAAAUCUGAGUUCUGCUUACGCUAAAGACAGGCUGAUUUUAAUAAGGGGGUCAGUGUUCAUUCACUUCAGUGUGAAUGCAGCUUGAUGUAGUGUUUUUCCACGUGACUUUGGCAGAGCUGUGAUUGUCAGAGCCUACAAUACAGAUGGUUAUACUUGCGGGUCUGAUCUUUGACGACUGUGGCAUCUGUGUUCUCGGUUCCAGGUUAAGCAGCUUCUCUUUCUUCAAUGGGCCAGCCAUUGAAUAUUAUUUUAUGUACUCUUUACAAUUGGUAUGUUUCAUUUGGACUUUUGCUUUAUUUUUUCAUCAGGAUUCAAAAUGUAAACCAACACAUUUCAUUGAAGUCUAAAAUAGGUUUUCUGUGAUUCAUACACAUCACUGAAAAAUAUAGGAUUACAUGUAUGCAUUUAAACAUACACACAACACACACACACACACACACACAUGGACUCUGUGCAUAUAUACAAACAUCCUUGGUUUUUCUUUGAUAGGUUUGAUAGCAAGGUAAAACAUAGUCUAGAAGGUUUAUAAUUUCCAUUACCAUCAUAACAAUAUAAAUCAUUACUACUUAUCACUAUGCUAACUUAGAAAGGAUUCAAACGUUCAUAUUAAAACCCUUUUUAAAAUUUCCUUGCUUUCUUCUAAAUUCUGCAUAAUUAAAAAUAAUAUUUACUCUAUUAUUUCUAGCUUGCAUGCUUUUACGCUGAUUUCAGCAAAUUGUGGCCAUUUUCAAUAGUCCAUUUGUCUAGAGCAUUGGAUGGAAUUGAAACGUGUUUGUUUUUUACAGAUGUUAACUCCUGGAAUACAUAUACAUCAGUGAGAGAGAGUUCAGUUGAAUUUUUCAAUGUUUAGCUGCUGGAUGAAGCCUUUCAGUUGACUAGAACUAGUGGAAAUGGCCAGAAAUUUGUGUGACAAUUUUGAAUUGCUCCUUUGUCGUUCUCUUCUCUAUCAGUAACUCUUGGAUGAAAAGUUUCUCAAUAUGAGAGAAAUUAGACUUUGUAUUUCCACUAGAAUUAGGAAGCUGAGGGCAAAAAAUACAGAACAUGGAAGCAGAGAACAUUAAGACUGCAGAGAAAAAUAAGCUAUGUGAUUCUAUCAAAAUUCUGAUUACACUGGAAAUCAUCCAAUUAGGUCUUCAAAUUGAGAAUAAUGGUUUUUGUUUCCCACUUUUAGAAAAAAAGAGAUGAGAGACAACAACAAUAAAAAGUGGGAUUGAGGUUUAGUUAAGAAAAAAAAAGGGGAAGGGAGGGGAGGGAGGAGAGGAAAGGAGAGGAGAGGCCACCCCUACCCCUCCAGAGGAAACACUGCCUGCUACAAACAACUCCUGCCACAGAGCGCUGUGGCCACUACAAAGUCUCCUGCUAAGUCUUCUUCAUAGAGAGACAGGAGAGCAGGCAAUUGCUGAAAGUUUCUUUUUGGUAAGGACUGAAACAAAUAGGUUUACCCCUGCAUUUACCAGAAAACUAAAUAAAUUGUGUCAUUCCCUGAAUCAUUCUGAGAAUCACAUGUUCCUUUAUAUUUAAAAGUGGAACUUCUAUAUCACAACAGGGGGUUAAACAGUCUGUAUAACAAUUUUAACGUUUGCAUCUGUUUAUUUUUCUUUGCGUGGGCAAUUCUAUCCAUCAUUAGCUCAAAAAAUCUUGACAUACACAGAACUAAAAACCAUAUGAGGAAACAACAGAAGAAUAACAACAGUAACAGUUCCACCGUGGUGUUUGGUCAUUUUCAUGGAUGUACUGGUGUUAUCAAAAUGGCAGCAGAGAGCAGCAAAGAGGCUUUGGUCCAAGAUGGCUCAUUUAAUGAGAACUAAUCAUGGGACCUAGCAUGGUAAAGACCUCCUAAGGUGAAAUGUAUCAUCACUCUCAUCCUCCAAAUCAUUCUCUGUAAGUUAAGCUUGGCUGCAUCUUUUGAAUAAUUUGCAAGGAUAUUUUUGAUCUCUCAGCAACUCUCUCAGCAAAUCAGUCCUCUAAUAUUUAACGAACAAUGACUAUAUGGAGAACAAUGUCAUCUCAAGAUGGGGACAGGAGACUGUAUUUCUCUGCGUUCAUUCCCUCCUGUUGUCCUGCUUCCUCAUUUUUCUCUACCUAAAAAGAGUCAUUUAAAAAAAAAUCAAAA